rnacentral:lncRNA from 1 species
UCUCUGGCCAUCCUCUUCCUGUCUCCUUGUCCAGCUGGGCCAGGUGGGCAUCUCUGUAACUAUUAAGAUUCCUAAUUCUGUUUUUCUCUUCUCUAGCUUGGCUUGACCCCCUGGGAUUGACAUUACAUCAGACUUUCUAAUAAAACUCCACUCCUUUUUCCUAGAUAAACAGACUUCUGGCAUUUUCAUGCAUGAUUCAUAACUUUAUGUAAAUGCUCUGGCAAGCUGGAUGAAUGGACAUGAUCCAAUAAAGAUAUUGAGCCUGGUAAGUUCUUAAAGCUGUGCUCGAAUGGGAGGUGGCUGACACCAGGCAGGGGAUGCUCACUAGCAUCUUGAUAGUCUAGGGAUGAAGGCUAAACCACUGGAAGAGAAGAGAAAGAUAAGAGGUGGCUAGUUGGCAGUGAAGAGAUAGCAGAGUUUGGGGAGGUGGAGGUAUCAGGUGGUGGUGAGGGGUUUUGACAGAUGAGAGACUACAGGUGAAACUUUCAUCAGGGUCUGGAGCUUCCUGAAGACAAAGGCUAUUGGGGCCAACUGGGAUUUACUGAGCUUUAGCUAAUCCUGGGCUUGGAGAUACUCGGAUUACCUGUCUGGCCUAUUUGUUUGUGUGUUAUACAGAGAAUAAAACGCAGUAAAAGAGUGUUGAGAGCACAGAACUCCUCUGAAGUGGAAGGAUCCUUCUCACAGGAUGAAACCAUGUCUCACAUACUCCAGUAUUCUCAAAAGCCUAAUAUAGAACUGAGCAUGUACCAGAGCCUCAAUAUAUCUUUAUUUUUGUAAAUUAAAAAUUUAUACCGAUAUAUAAUGCGUAAGUGUGCC